rnacentral:rRNA from 1 species
UAUAAUGGGUCAGCGACUUAUAUUCAGUGGCAAGCUUAACCGUAUAGGGUAGGCGUAGCGAAAGCGAGUCUUAAUAGGGCGUUUAGUCGCUGGGUAUAGACCCGAAACCGGGCGAUCUAUCCAUGAGCAGGUUGAAGGUUAGGUAACACUGACUGGAGGACCGAACCCACUCCCGUUGAAAAGGUAGGGGAUGACUUGUGGAUCGGAGUGAAAGGCUAAUCAAGCUCGGAGAUAGCUGGUUCUCCUCGAAAGCUAUUUAGGUAGCGCCUCAUGUAUCACUCUGGGGGGUAGAGCACUGUUUCGGCUAGGGGGUCAUCCCGACUUACCAAACCGAUGCAAACUCCGAAUACCCAGAAGUGCCGAGCAUGGGAGACACACGGCGGGUGCUAACGUCCGUCGUGAAAAGGGAAACAACCCAGACCGCCAGCUAAGGUCCCAAAGUUGUGGUUAAGUGGUAAACGAUGUGGGAAGGCUUAGACAGCUAGGAGGUUGGCUUAGAAGCAGCCAUCCUUUAAAGAAAGCGUAAUAGCUCACUAGUCGAGUCGGCCUGCGCGGAAGAUGUAACGGGGCUCAAACCACACACCGAAGCUGCGGGUGUCACGUAAGUGACGCGGUAGAGGAGCGUUCUGUAAGCCUGUGAAGGUGAGUUGAGAAGCUUGCUGGAGGUAUCAGAAGUGCGAAUGCUGACAUGAGUAACGACAAUGGGUGUGAAAAACACCCACGCCGAAAGACCAAGGGUUCCUGCGCAACGUUAAUCGACGCAGGGUUAGUCGGUUCCUAAGGCGAGGCUGAAAAGCGUAGUCGAUGGGAAACAGGUUAAUAUUCCUGUACUUCUGGUUACUGCGAUGGAGGGACGGAGAAGGCUAGGCCAGCUUGGCGUUGGUUGUCCAAGUUUAAGGUGGUAGGCUGAAAUCUUAGGUAAAUCCGGGGUUUCAAGGCCGAGAGCUGAUGACGAGUCGUCUUUUAGAUGACGAAGUGGUUGAUGCCAUGCUUCCAAGAAAAGCUUCUAAGCUUCAGGUAACCAGGAACCGUACCCCAAACCGACACAGGUGGUCGGGUAGAGAAUACCAAGGCGCUUGAGAGAACUCGGGUGAAGGAACUAGGCAAAAUGGCACCGUAACUUCGGGAGAAGGUGCGCCGGCUAGGGUGAAGGAUUUACUCCGUAAGCUCUGGCUGGUCGAAGAUACCAGGCCGCUGCGACUGUUUAUUAAAAACACAGCACUCUGCAAACACGAAAGUGGACGUAUAGGGUGUGACGCCUGCCCGGUGCCGGAAGGUUAAUUGAUGGGGUUAGCGCAAGCGAAGCUCUUGAUCGAAGCCCCGGUAAACGGCGGCCGUAACUAUAACGGUCCUAAGGUAGCGAAAUUCCUUGUCGGGUAAGUUCCGACCUGCACGAAUGGCGUAACGAUGGCGGCGCUGUCUCCACCCGAGACUCAGUGAAAUUGAAAUCGCUGUGAAGAUGCAGUGUAUCCGCGGCUAGACGGAAAGACCCCGUGAACCUUUACUGUAGCUUUGCACUGGACUUUGAGCCUGCUUGUGUAGGAUAGGUGGGAGGCUUUGAAGCGUGGACGCCAGUUCGCGUGGAGCCAUCCUUGAAAUACCACCCUGGCAUGCUUGAGGUUCUAACUCUGGUCCGUAAUCCGGAUCGAGGACAGUGUAUGGUGGGCAGUUUGACUGGGGCGGUCUCCUCCUAAAGAGUAACGGAGGAG